rnacentral:rRNA from 1 species
GAUGAACGCUGGCUUCGUGCCUAAUACAUGCAAGUCGAGCGAACGGACGAGAAGCUUGCUUCUCUGAUGUUAGCGGCGGACGGGUGAGUAACACGUGGAUAACCUACCUAUAAGACUGGGAUAACUUCGGGAAACCGGAGCUAAUACCGGAUAAUAUUUUGAACCGCAUGGUUCAAAAGUGAAAGACGGUCUUGCUGUCACUUAUAGAUGGAUCCGCGCUGCAUUAGCUAGUUGGUAAGGUAACGGCUUACCAAGGCAACGAUGCAUAGCCGACCUGAGAGGGUGAUCGGCCACACUGGAACUGAGACACGGUCCAGACUCCUACGGGAGGCAGCAGUAGGGAAUCUUCCGCAAUGGGCGAAAGCCUGACGGAGCAACGCCGCGUGAGUGAUGAAGGUCUUCGGAUCGUAAAACUCUGUUAUUAGGGAAGAACAUAUGUGUAAGUAACUGUGCACAUCUUGACGGUACCUAAUCCAAAAGCCACGGCUAACUACGUGCCAGCAGCCGCGGUAAUACGUAGGUGCAAGCGUUAUCCGGAAUUAUUGGGCGUAAAGCGCGCGUACGGGUUUUUUAAGUCUGAUGUGAAAGCCCACGGCUCAACCGUGGAGGGUCAUUGGAAACUGGAAAACUUGAGUGCAGAAGAGGAAAGUGGAAUUCCAUGUGUAGCGGUGAAAUGCGCAGAGAUAUGGAGGAACACCAGUGGCGAAGGCGACUUUCUGGUCUGUAACUGACGCUGAUGUGCGAAAGCGUGGGGAUCAAACAGGAUUAGAUACCCUGGUAGUCCACGCCGUAAACGAUGAGUGCUAAGUGUUAGGGGGUUUCCGCCCCUUAGUGCUGCAGCUAACGCAUUAAGCACUCCGCCUGGGGAGUACGACCGCAAGGUUGAAACUCAAAGGAAUUGACGGGGACCCGCACAAGCGGUGGAGCAUGUGGUUUAAUUCGAAGCAACGCGAAGAACCUUACCAAAUCUUGACAUCCUUUGACAACUCUAGAGAUAGAGCCUUCCCCUUCGGGGGACAAAGUGACAGGUGGUGCAUGGUUGUCGUCAGCUCGUGUCGUGAGAUGUUGGGUUAAGUCCCGCAACGAGCGCAACCCUUAAGCUUUGUUGCCAUCAUUAAGUUGGGCACUCUAAGUUGACUGCCGGUGACAAACCGGAGGAAGGUGGGGAUGACGUCAAAUCAUCAUGCCCCUUAUGAUUUGGGCUACACACGUGCUACAAUGGACAAUACAAAGGGCAGCGAAACCGCGAGGUCAAGCAAAUCCCAUAAAGUUGUUCUCAGUUCGGAUUGUAGUCUGCAACUCGACUACAUGAAGCUGGAAUCGCUAGUAAUCGUAGAUCAGCAUGCUACGGUGAAUACGUUCCCGGGUCU